CCAGGUUCAAGCGAUUCCACUGCCUCAGCCUCCGAAGUAGCUGGGACUACAGGCACAUGCCACCAUGCCCGGCUAAUUUUUGUAUUUUUAGUGUAGAUGGGGUUUCACCAUAUUGGCCAAGCUGGUCCCGAACUCCUGACCUUGUGAUCCGCCCGCCCCAGCCUUCCAAAGUGCUGGGAUUACAGGUACAGAGUUUUGCUCUCGUUGCCCAGGCUAGAGUGCAGUAGCACAAUCUCGGCUCACUGCAACCUCCACCUUCCAGUUUCAAUCGAUUCUCCUGCCUCAGCCUCCGAAGUAGCUGGGAUUACAGGCACCCGCUGCCACACCCAGCUAAUUUUUUUGUAUUUUUUUUUUUAGUAGAGACGGGGUUUCACCAUGUUUGUCAGGCUGGUCUCGAACUGCUGACCUCGUGAUCCACCCGCCUCAGCCUCCCAAAGUGCUGGGAUUACAGGUGUGAGCCACCACACCCGGUGGAAUGAAACUUUUAACAUUAUAUUGAUAAAUGAAAAUAUAUGAGGUCUUCAUUUCAUAGUUGCAUUUUUUUCAGAAGCUAAAAUGGUGCGAAUAUCCAGAAUAACUUCAAAUAUAAAAUUCUUUUAUUUUUAGAUUUUUUUUUUUUUUGCAUUGUUUAGUUUUUGGUUUCUGUGACCUGAUGAAUGACAAAGUUUUUUCAUUUAACAUAGAAAGGUUAACUUCAGGCUGUAUGUACAGUAAUGUACUUUUCAGAGCAUCUUGGUAAUUAAUGUAUUUCUGAAACAUUCAUUAGUCAUUCUAAAUUUAUAUGUAAAAUUUGAUAAGUGUAAUUUUCCCAGAGUUACAGGAGUGUCUCAGUUUGAAUUUUUUUCUGUUCCUUAGCCGUAUAUUUAAGAUGAGAUUUGUAUCAAGCAAAAGAAAUGUAUCUUAUAAAUUUAAAUACAUGCCUAACUUAUAUGAGAGGGUUUAUUAUUGCUUACUUUCUCUAGAAACCACUUUUAUAAGCUUACAGUUUAUAUCUCUCUUCUAAAUACUCCUUGAUAGAAAAUCUUGUAGAGCAGUUUAUUAUACUGUUAAUUCUGCAAAUAAAUGGUAAUUUCUCCACAGCAUUUCGUGACAGCAGUGUAUUUUUUUAUGGUUUUAAAGUAAGCAUUUUGGGCCGGGUGCGGUGUCUCAUGCCUGUAAUCCCAGCACUUUGGGAGGCCAAGGUGGGCAGAUCACUUGAGGUCAGGAGUUCAAGACCAGCCUGGCCAACAUGGCAAAACCCUG
rnacentral:lncRNA from 10 species